GCUGGCGCUGCCCCGGGCGGGCAGGGCCGACCCUUUCCCCCGAGUGCGCAGCGCCUGCCCCGGCCGGCAGCCCGGGCCGGAUCCCGGCCCGCUGAGCUCCUUUCCGCCCGAGCCUCUCCGGCAGGGCUGCGCGCCGCCCUUGUUGCCUGUAGGGCAGCGCCGCGUUUUGGCAUCAGCCGUGGCUUGUUUGACGGGUUUGGAUGGGAGACGUGACGGGAGCAGCGGUGUCCAGCAGCCAGAACCAAAAUUCACGUGCUCCAUCCACUGUAGCCGCAGAGGCAAAGCAGCGCGACGCUGUUGCUUGUACGUAUUCCUCCUUCCCCGCGCAGCUACUCGGUGCUCUUGGUAUUUAGCACUUAAGAGCUUGGAGGCAGUUCGCGGUAGCUUGGCAGUGCUGUUGUUACGAAGCUGGAUGAAAAUCGCUGCAUUCUUCACGUAGCUCGCUGAAAACAGUCAUAUUUCAUAGGACUAAGUAUAAAGUCUAGCUAUUGCUUGAAAUCCGUAAAAAAUUCAAAUGCAUUUCAAUACAUACUGCACGGUUUUUGAAGAUACUUUCAAUGUUAGGUUAAUGGCAAUGAACAAUGCUUCCUAAACUAAAAAGAAACAGAGACACGUCAUCUUGACAGGUGUACAAUGUCAUUGGGUAUUGUCAAGCAGUGUUAACUCUGCUUUUCCUGAAAGAUGUGACAAAAAUGUAGAGAACGUGUAGUUCUCUUAACAGUAAGAAUGCCUUGAAUUAUUGCAUUAUGUCCAGUGUUCAUUGUAUAUUCCCCCUCUAUAAAGGUAGAUAGAACUCUGUUUGGACAUUGGAGUUUUUAUGUCAUUUCAGGGAUUUGUUUACAUUAGUAGAAAUUAACAGCUUAUGUAAGGUAAGUCGGUUUUACUGCUUCUAUCCUUAAAAAAUUGUAUCUUUAGUAAGAAAAUACUACCCUUGUUAUCAAAGAGUAACAGUGUUACAAACCAUUAUUUUAAAUAUAGAUUCUUAGUUCAUCAAUAGCAUGCCCAUAGCACACUGCAGUAUGUGUAUAGAUAACAAAACAGUGUGGUUUGUAUUUGGUAACAUGAUUGCAUUUGCUUUAUUCCAACCUUGUUUUAAGGUUGUGACAGGUUGAAAUACAACUUUACGUGCUUAAUGAAAUUGCCAUCGUUUUGCUUCUUGUAGACCAGUCUGGACAAGGAUACAUUUCCUUUGCUUGCUAAUUUUUAACUGGUAAGUGAAGGCUCUUUUUAACCCUGAGAAAGCAUGCUGUCAAAUCCUUCCAAUUUAUUAAUGGUAUCUGCUGAAGAGCAAGCUUUCCUUUUAAAAUUAGAUGAACGUAGAUGAUGUUAGAAUAAUUGUUAUGGACUGUUGAUUCUCACAGGAAAAAUAGCAUAUGAAGACUUUUCAGCAGAUUUGGUGCAGCUGUUCCCAUACCACUUCAUUAUUGCUUCCUGCACAUAAAGAGUUUCUAGUGCUUGAAUGUACGUAGGUAAUACAAGGUAAGAAAUACCAGCACAAGUUGUGUAGUAACACUAGUAAUCUGCUAAUAGGAACAAUAUAGUUUGUCCUAAAGUAUUUUGUGCUUAUUUAGUGACAGCUGAGAUGGUCCACACCAACACUUGUGGAAUCACUCAUGCCAGUGCAAUGCAAAAUUCAGGCUCUAGUUUGCUCGGUUGUUAAGCUGAAUUAUUUUCUCAGUUGGAACAAUACAGAAAUGGAGGCAAAGCUUUGUGAUGAAGCUGCCCGUGUAAUUAGGCAUAAAUGACAGGAAAAGUUCUCAUCCUUAAUUUUUUCUAUAGAUAUUUCAAAACUCUGAAUUUAAGUCUUUAGAAAAAAGCAGAAGCUUUUUUUUUCUCAGCUUUAGAAAAAAAUGCUUUUUCCUUGGAAAAGUGGAAUGUUUUAAUAAAAUGCAAAAAGCUCAUCAUUGGUUUCAAAUAGGCUAAUCAACAUGGUAUCUUUCUUUAGCAAGUACACAGCAAAAACCACAAAAAAAUGCUACCUGAAAGCCCCUCUCAGCAUACCUUAUGCUCUCCUCUCUCCCUUUACCUUCCCACACUCCUGCAUUGCAAAAAAGGGCGUUUUAACAAUUUCUGGGAGAAGAAAGUUGAAUUAAUUCAGGUUAAAGAGCUGUGAGAAACCAUAGCUCCCAUCAAGACUGGCAUGACUACAGCCUGAUCUAUUAAGACAGUAGAAACACUUUUGCACUCUCUUAAUUUUACAGCUUUCCCAUGGGGAAGGAAGGCUGGGGGGAGGACAUGGUAACAGGCCUGGGUAAACAGGUUCUGUGGAUAUGGGGGAGAGGUUGUGUGGUGUUGGUAUUGGGAAGGGGGCGGGGGGCAGGGAGGUAGAGGCUGCUUAGUCUAUUUCAAGAUAACUAGGUCUUGAGGUCUUGUAAGGUUCUUUUGGUAACUACCCAAUGUCUUGACUUCUAUCUGGACAACAAGAAGAAAUUCCUAUCUUCAGCUGUGUUUUCAUCUAGGUAGCCCUUCUUGUAUCAUGUAACCUGUAGUACUCUCCAAGUUUCUCUUUUAAGGUGAAGUUUUAUUGCAUUAAUCUAAUCUCAAAGUUAGAAGAAUUAUGAUAAUGCCAGCAGCAGUUCUCUGUGUAUUACAGUAAGGACCUGCUAUGAUCAUAAAAAGCAAAUUCAAUUACUGCUAUAAUGUUCAUAACUGAUAACACCUUUGGAAAUUGAGGCAAAGGGUAAUGACUACUGGGAAGCAUGCUCUUUCAAAAGUGCUAGCUAUUAUUUCCAGUGUCUCUAUUGACCAAAUCAUAGGCAUAAGCUGUUGGAUGUCAUCAGCCUUCUGUGGUUCUGUCUGUAAGAGGAAGGUACCAAUAUGCUGUACUACUCUUCUUUAGGGAAAGAAAUAAUUCUUCACUCACCUAUUACAGUCACUUGAAAAAAAUAUAUUGUGUAUGUUAUUCAGUAUAGAAUCAUUCAUGGUGUACAAGAGUAUAGCUGCUGUAAUCAAACAUCAAAAACAGAUGAACAUCUGAAAUACAUUUCUCUGUAAAAUGAUGAAUACCUUAACACAGAGUAAGGUCUAGAGCCAAACUAAAAAUCUCAAGGACUAAUUACAUUAAAAUUCUGUGCUGUGUUUGACAACAAAAACAUAUUUCCCUUGACAUUAAAGCAAACUGACAGGCAACUUUUCAAGCAGAAGCUAUAGUAGUGUAUCAUUCAAAGUAGUAAGCAGAUGAUGUAGUGUUCAAAAGGGACAUGUCCAAGUAUUGUGUAUAAUCCUGGAAGAGAUAAUGCCUAUAUUUGUCCAGUGGGGUUGUUACGUGAUUGUUGAAGAGCUGAAAGAUGAAGGUUUUAAGCACACCUUAGUCUGGGAGGAUUCAGAUUUGUAUCUGGUAUACUUUAAAAGCUAUUUUGAGCUGUACAACAGCUGUGAAGAAGGGUGUAGUAAGCCACAGUAUCAACUCCUGGUAGAACUGGCUCUUCCCUCAGUCUGGAAUAAAAGAGCCAGAAGAGAUACCUUUGUGAUUCAUCCACUUGCACAAGAGUAGGAAGAGCUACAUUCUCGUUCCUGUGCUUGUGUAUUAAUUAUGCAGUCAUUAAGCUGGGGUGAAAAGACAAUGCUAAGUGAAACAAAAGUUUUUUCCCACUUUUGACCUAAAUCAUGUACCUGUCAGCUUUUUUGAUAAGGUGUGUAUUUCAUAUACCUUGAGGCACUGUUACAGGGUACUGUUACAUGGAUAGGAUGGAGUGGACUAAAUUCUGCUUGAUGAAAUAUUAAGCAUUUUGUGUUACUCUUGGUAGUUAGGGAGGGCAGGGUACCUCUGUAUUGGGCUUCACCUUAUCUACCUGCCAGAGAGUUAAGCAUGGAAAAGAUGUAAAUCAGUAUAUAGUAGAGUGUAUUACAGCUGUAUUGAAGAUUAUCAUAGAAUUCUUGCCUAUGAGAUUGCACUUUUGAGUAGAUAAAUUUCUUGGGUUUGCAAUGGCUGCACAUGCAGUUUCUUUAAGUCCUAGGCAGACAUUUUUCUAGAAAAGAUAGCCUUCCAGCAAGAAGAAAAGGUGUGUCUCUCUAGAGAGGGUGGUGCUUCUGCUGUGCUCUUGAGAAAUCUCUGUGCAUUAAAAACAAAGUUCAGAUGGGUUUCAUUUCUCACUGUCCAAUAGGAGAUGAAAAUGAAGUCUCAGAUAUGUCAGUUUUAUUACAGCAUUGUUGAGAAAGGCAGAAAAUGGUUAGGAGGAAAAGAAAAGCAAUCUGUCAAGGCAGAGAAAAGAAAAAAAUGCUAGCAGUUACAGAGAGAAAACAUAAAAUGUAUCCAGUUUAUCUUCUUCCUAACAGCACAUAGAAUUAAAAGGGGUGCAACAUUGUUUACAGAACAUAUUUGAAUCUUGUAUUUUGAAGGUAUAUUUUGCCUCUAAGCUCAUAACAUUCCUACACCUUAUAAUUUAUAAACAUUUGUAUUGGUUUAGUGCAUUUUACGGGUAGAUUUUCAGUAAUUGAUGCUCUUCCUACAUCAAUAAAAGAAGCCAACUAAUUUCUUGAACACACCAUACAGUGUCGUCCAAGUUUUUCUAGCCCCAUGGCUUCAGUUAGUGUGCUAGGAUAUAACACUUUUCCAUUUCUGCAGUCACAAAGUUAUUACCUUAGCUGUGUAACUCUGUGCUCAUGUAGGGAAGAAUUUCAAGUGGCUUCUGGCCUGUUCCUUUUGGUAGCCAGCCCAUGCCCACAUUGCAAAGUGGGAGUAGCAGUGAGUGCGUAUUACUGCAAAUGCUGCCCAGAUCUGUGGGGCACUGCUAAAUCUGUGGGACCAUUGCUAAAUAUAAUACCCGCCAGUGGAAGUCCAGCUAAUGCACAUUAAAGUUUAAAGAAUUACAGUAUUAUCAUAUCUGGAAAUUAGGAAUAUUGAGAGACCAUUAUUUCAGACACAUUUGGGUAUUUUUACCUUCUGUUUGUUUUGAACUAAUGCCUAAGUUUAAAACUAUCCAGAAUAAUAUUUUGUAUUUUAAUUAAUGAAGUUACCUCAACUACAGUAGUGCCCUCAGCAGCUAUUUAAAAUUUGCUACCUGUAGCUAAAAAUUCAGUGUUGAAAGAUACUUAUGUGUAAGAUACUAACCAGUAUUUUUAAUUUUCACUAUAGUGAGAAGUGUUUUCACCUAAACAAUAGGAUUAAAAAAAAUAAAAAUAAAUACUUCAUAGCUGGGAAAUUUGCAGAUUUAUUUUGGCCACCACAGUGGCAAAGAGCUGACAGCUAAAGAAAUGGGCAAGUUUUGUUUUUCAGGUGCACCAUGUUUUGGUAAAAUACCAGAGUGUAUUGGUUACUGUGAAAUAUGAAUGUUUUCAAUCGUAACUUGGUAAAUAGAUUUAAAUUAUCCAUUUUUAUCAAUUACAGCUAAACCAGAAUUUAAAAUGCAGCUGAAGCAUUAAUUUAACUUUUUCUUUUAAUGUGUGAAAUGUGAAUGCAUAUGAAUAUUCACUUACACUGUGGGAUUGCUAGUGAUGUGUUGCAUAUGAUUGUUAAUGUUCAGUACUUACAGAGCAGCACUUCUAACAAAAGGAGCAUAUAUUUACCUGGACAGAAAACAUCUAAAUAAAUGAUAAGAAAACUUAUGCCUUUUUUAAAACUGUAAUUAAUCAGUCUGAAAAGGCCAAAGUUUUUUGGUUUUUUUUAACUAGAAGUCUUCUUUUUCUACCUGCUGAAAAUACUUUCUAUUUUCCUAGUCUUUAUUAAAUGUGAAUCCUUGUUUUAAUGGUGAAGAGAAAUAUAUGAAGCUACAACACUGUGAGAAAAGAAAGGGACUAAAUGGUAUGAGUGUUGAAAGCUUCUGGAGAUGAGACAGAGUUGCUCAACAGUGUUCAUCAGAAGCAAAGGCCCGAGCAGUGCUUAUAGUGGUUGUUGAUUACCCACACAAAGACCAUUGUGCUUCCAUGCUAUGGUAUUCUCAGAGGCUCUUUUUUAAUCUGUCCAUUGCUAUUUUUGCCUUUUCUCUAAAAGAAAACUACAGUGUUCAAUUUCUUAAUAUUUUCUAAUGGUCCUUUUUCACUUUAGGAAGCCUAAACUCUGUUUUGAUUGUGGAUGACUCAUUGUCUCUCAUUUGUUCCUCCUACCCACAGUCUUUUUGUUGAGUGUGGGAGAUUUUUCGUGGAAUAUAGUAGCUACAUAUAUUUGAAUUAUCAUAUGUCCUAGAACCCCUUUCACUGUUUUCUACUCUUCAGAAGCUAUGAAACACUUUGUAGUCAAAUACUUCAAGUUGCUUGGAUAAAAGACAUUAUAAAUGUACAGAGAAUUACUGAUUAAGCACUCAGAUAAAUUCAGAAUUUCCUUCAUCAGGAAGCAUCCCCGAUUUCAUGACAUCUUUGUUGGAAUUUGUAGGCUGGUGCAUUGUAAGUCCCUAUUUGACUGUCACCAGAGCUCAAAGGCCAGAUCAUAACAAUCAGUAAAACAUGACUCUUGGGCUCAAAGCCAAAAGGUGCACAUUGCUGGGUUGUUUGUUUGUAUAGGAGAUCUGGAUCAUUUUAGGCUGCAGUCACUUUAUACAAUACGUUAUCCUCCUAUAUAGCUAUGCUGGAUCUGAUUAUUGUUCAGAACAAAUUAAUUGCUUUAUACUAGUAAGUCACUGUUACAAGUUUAUGAGCACAGUAAAGGAUAGGAUUCACUUGCCUCGAGGUAUUCCACUUGAAUCUCCAGAAGUUCACUUUAGUCUCAUAGUUUUUGCAUGGCAUUUUCCUGCUCUGUGCAAAUAUGUUCUUCACCUCUUGAAUGUCUGGAGUGGCCAUUGCCAACUGUUGGGCCAUCAGCUGCAUCUCACUGUAAACAUACAGAAACGUUUUCUGUUAACCACUUCUGCUCUUGGCACAGUUUGAACAACUUGUGUUCAGAGUUUUGACAAGAAUAAAAUGACUCUGUUGAAGGUAAUGAAAUUAUUCCCUAUAGCUUUGACUUUCAGAAUUGUGUUAAUAUCUAGCCAUUGUGUUGGCCAGACCACAGAGUAGAGGCACAGAGGAAUAAGCUGAAAAGUUCUCUGUGGUGUAGAGGCAAAAUACAUGCAAAAAUCGCUGCAGCUAACUUUGCAGUGUUAGGAUAUCACAUUUUACUCUGCUGGCCAUUCUCAAAUUCUUAAUUUUUUUACUAUUCUUUUUAUGCUUGGUCUCAGAUUGUGACUGAAAUAUAGGAAAGGGAAAUAAAAUGCAUUUCUUAUAGAUUCAAAUUACUUCUGAAUAGAUCCAUUCAUGUGAGUCUUGAUAGUCUUGUUUGUUUAGAACAUGAGAAGAUUCCAAUAUUUUAGAAUUUUCCUUAUAAUUGUAGAAGCUUUUAAGGACCCUUCUCUAAUAGGCAGUUUUUUAUUAUGGAAGUUACUGUACAGUUCAUAAAUAAGGGUGAUCACUGAAAUGUUAGCAUUAUCUCUCAUGGUAUUGUAUUUGUUUAAAAAUUAGUAUAUGAAGGUUUCAUAGAGAGUACUUCACCUCUUAGGUAUUUAGGUAACUUGUCAAGUUGUUAAAGAAAGGUAAUUACACUUUUUUGAUUGCGGGUUUUUGUUUUGACAGAACAGGUACAACUCUCUGGUUUUAGCAUGUGCACACCCUGUACAUCUCAAGUCCUGAUAGGGCUAAAAAACUGUUACCCUGUUGGUAGAGCAGAGAAAUGCAAAAAUCAGUUUCCUGAAGCAAACCAUGCUAAAGCUGGCACAUCCUUUGCAAAGGCAGUCUGGGUCAUGCGCAGAGCACAGCCAAGCAGUGAGACUGAGAUUGUAUUGACAAGAACAAGAUGAAUGGCCCCCUGGAGACUAUGGGGUUUGUAUGCUCGUUUCCACUACCUUUUCAUCCUUUUGUACCCCCUUUCAGUUCAUAUGCAGAUUAACUCAAACCAAGUCCACACUAAAUACUCUUUUUCACUUUAGUUUUGGAAGGUAGGUGGAGGAUCUAAAUAUUUAUGAGGCUUUUUUCCUCUGGUUUAUGAUGCACUCUUGUUGAAUGUUGAGGAAUUACGUUAAUGAAUGCAUGCCUGCACACACAGACACAGAAACCAGGCAAAAGGAAAGAAAACCACACAAAGCAUUGUCAGCUCUAAUGUCAGUGCUUACUAAAACAGUUCCCAUUAAAAAAAAAAAAAUGGGAAAGAUUUAAAAUCCAUUGCCAGGAGAAAAAUAAAUUGUAUGGCUGAGCACAAAAGAAAGAACAAAGUUUCAUCUUUGCUUUCCUCAGCUGUAAAUGAAGCUCUUGUUUCAGCUCUGAAUAAAAUUGAAAUAAAACAUGUUAAUGAGAGCUUGUCUGAAGUCUUAACUGGAUUUGUGUUUUCAGUAAUAAAAGACCAAACUUCAGUCCUGUAUAAGUUUUUUUUAACACCAGUAGUAAUAAACAUGAUAUUUUUUAGUAUGCUACAAGAUGCAGUUAAAUAUACUUUAAUUAGAUUUCCAAGUCAGAUAAUUAAAUUACAGUGGUUUUGCCAUGAUCUUGCUGAGUUCAGUACACUUAUUCAGGAGACUUAGUUUUUAUGAGACAGGAUUUUUAUGAAAACUGAACUUUUUUUUAUUAAAUAGAAUAUACUGAGAUUAUAGCCAGAUAUACUAGAAUAUUAAUUUAUUUUCAGAAGGGUUAGUUCAAAACUCUAACUUAAGGAACAUUUUCUCUAUAGAUGGAAAAGUAAAUGGCAUUAAAAUACUACUGCUGAAAUAUGGACAUAUUAAUUCUUUUAAUACUAUAUUGUCAAAACGAGUUGCCUCUUCAAUGUAUUAUCUCUGCCUUCCUUCCAUCCCUUUUUAUCCUUCAGUACACAGAGCUGUGCCAGACAGGGCUGCAGCUCACACAAGUGGGACAGUAAAUUCUUCUGCAUUCAGGGAGCAGAAGAAGAGAUUUUAAAAUUUGCUUUUGUGCUGUCAUUGAAAAAUGUACUGAAGCAAUUGCAAAAUAGUAGCUCUUCAAGUGGAAUAGUAUUUUUCUGUCUAGACUUGUUUUUCAUAUUAACAAUAUGUAUAUCUGAGAUUCAUAAAACAUUGUCCUAAUAAAUGUGUUUAUAUUUUUAUGGUACUUUGUGUUCUAGGUAUUCAUUUUCCCAUGUAAUUAAAUCCAAUAAAGCCAUCUAUAUUUCAUUUGUUCUAAACUUCUUGGUUUUGAUCUUAAAACACUGAUUUUGCUAUUUUCCGUUUCUUUGCCUGUGUUACUCAAGGGUUAAGUAAAACAACUUUGUUUAGCAGAUCCCAAAACAGUAAAGCUGUAUAUGACCUACUAAAAAAUUAGAACCUAAUAAUUGAAAUUGCA